CAGCCAUCCGAGGUAAUUCCUUCCUCUCCUCUCUCCUGAGCUGCUGGUUGCAAACAGAAGCUACCCAAGGAAUAAACAAACCUUUGGGAAUGAAUUAACCAGGCUGCUCUGAGCCCCAAAGGUUUCAAAGGUCAUCAGUGAUUGCGGGGUGAUAGUGAAGUGAGGACUGUUGAAAAUAUGCUACCAUGCCUUGCAUUGUUGUCUUGCAACUUCGCCAUGAAAGAUACUACGGGGUCGGAGCCUGGAGAAGAGAAAGGAAACCAACUUGCAAGUUGGGCUUAUGACCACUCUUGGACUAGAUUCCCUUGAAUCUAGGUGAACUUGACUGCUUGACCAAUAGAAUAUGGCAGAAGUGGCUCUGUGUACAUUCCUCAGCCCAGACCUUAAAAAGACUGACAGUUUCUUGGAACCUAGCCACCAUGCUGUGAGGAAGCCCAAGCAGCCCCGUGCAGAGGCUCAAGUAGAGAGAAGAUGAGACCCUCAGCCACAACCCCAGCCGAGCUCCCAAAGAACAACUCAUGUCAAGUAUGUGUCAGUCACCUUAGAAGUGGAUUCGUCAACCCCAUCAAGCCACCUCAGCUGAUGCUGUGUUCAGCAGAGAUAAGCCAUUCCCACUGAGUCCUACCCAAAUGGCAGCUUUGUGAGAAAAAUAAAUGACUGUGGUUGUUUGAAGCCACUAAAUUUCUGUGUGAAUUAUAAUUCAGCAAUAGAU